rnacentral:rRNA from 1 species
CCCUUAGAUGUUCUGGGCUGCACGCGCGCUACACUGAUGCACUCAACGAGUUUACGACCUUGCCCGAUAGGGUUGGGUAAUCUUUUUAAAAUGCAUCGUGAUGGGGAUAGAUUAUUGCAAUUAUUAAUCUUCAACGAGGAAUUCCUAGUAAGCGCGAGUCAUCAGCUCGUGCUGAUUACGUCCCUGCCCUUUGUACACACCGCCCGUCGCUCCUACCGAUUGAAUGAUCCGAUGAAUAUCAUGGAUUGAGGAUGCAAGUAGGUUAGCCUAUCUUCAUCUUCGAGAAGUGAAGUAAAUCUUAUCAUUUAGAGGAAGGAGAAGUCGUAACA